rnacentral:tRNA from 1 species
GGGGAAAUAACUCAGUGGUAGAGUGUUUGCCUAGCAUGCAGGAAGCUCUGGGUUUGAUUCCCAAUACCCG